rnacentral:rRNA from 1 species
CCAAGUUAUAAAGAGUCAACGGCGGAUGCCUUGGCGCCUGAAGCCGAAGAAGGACGUGGGAGGCUGCGAUAAGCCACGGGGAGCUGCCUACCAAGCGCGGAUCCGUGGAUGUCCGAAUGGGGAAACCCGGCACCCGUCAUGGGGUGUCACCCUGGUCUGAACGCAUAGGACCAGUGGAGGGAACCGGGGGAAUUGAAACAUCUCAGUACCCCGAGGAGAGGAAAACAACAGUGACUCCCUGAGUAGCGGCGAGCGAAACGGGAUGAGCCUAAACCGAGUUGGUGUUAAAGCCUGAUGGCGUUGCCAAUUCGGGGUUGUGGGAGCCGAUAGAAGGUGCAUCAGAACCUUCACGGAGUUACAAAACCAAUUGCUUAGUGGAAGCAUCCAGGAAAGAUGCGCCGCAGAGGGUAACAGCCCCGUACACGAAAAGCAUUGGACUCCGAUCGGAUUUCCCGAGUAGCGCCGGAUCCGGGAAAGCCGGCGUGAAUCUGCGAGGACCACCUCGUAAGGCUAAGUACUCACAGGCGACCGAUAGUGAACUAGUACCGUGAGGGAAAGGUGAAAAGUACCCCGGGAGGGGAGUGAAAUAGUACCUGAAACCGUUGACUUACAAUCAGUCAGAGCGUCGUCGGCACUUUGUGCCGGCCGUGAUGGCGUGCCUUUUGAAGAAUGAGCCAACGAGUUACGGUGUGUGGCGAGGUUAACCUGCGAAGGGGAGCCGAAGCGAAAGCGAGUCUUAAUAGGGCGAAUUAGUCGCAUGCUGUAGACCCGAAGCCGAGUGAGCUAGCCAUGGGCAGGCUGAAGCGGGGGUAAGACCCCGUGGAGGGCCGAACCCACCCUGGUUGAAAACAGGGGGGAUGACCUGUGGUUAGGGGUGAAAGGCCAAUCAAACUCGGUGAUAGCUGGUUCUCCCCGAAAUGCAUUUAGGUGCAGCGUCGGGCGUUCAGCAUCGGAGGUAGAGCACUGAAUGGGCAAGGGGGCCUACAAGCUUACUGACCCCAAUCAAACUCCGAAUGCCGAUGCUUUAGAGCCUGGCAGUGAGACUACGAGGGAUGAGCUUCGUUAGUCGAGAGGGAAACAGCCCAGACCGCCAGCUAAGGCCCCUAAUUUUUGACUAAGUGGAAAACGAUGUGGGAACGCGAAGACAGCCAGGAGGUUGGCUCAGAAGCAGCCAUCCUUAAAAGAGUGCGUAAUAGCUCACUGGUCGAGUGGUCCUGCGCGGACAAUGUAACGGGGCUCAAGUCAAAAGCCGAAGCUGCGGAUUUCCAUUCCGCCUGAAUUUCGAUUCGGGAGUGACGGAGUGGGAGUGGUAGGGGAGCGUCGAUCCUGCUGAGAAGCGGCGGUGGAAACCGUCGUGGAGCGUGGUCGAGUGAGAAUGUUGGUAUGAGUAGCGAGAGAGGGGUGAGAAACCCCUCCGCCGUAAGCCCAAGGGUUCCUGGGGAAGGCUAAUCCUCCCAGGGUAAGUCGGGAGCUAAGGCGAGGCCGAGAGGCGUAGUCGAUGCACAACUGGUUGAUAUUCCAGUACUUCCGUGUCCGCGCCCAUUCCAAUACCGGUGUCCUAAGGGGCUGUCCUUCGGGGCGAACCGACCGACCCGGUGGCGGAAAGCGAAGGAGGGACGCAGGAGGGUAGGUGAGCCCAGGCGUUGGUUGUCCUGGGGUAAGCGUGUAGGGGGAGGUCCAGGCAAAUCCGGACCUCAUCAACCCUGAGACGCGAUGCCGAGCCACACCAGGCGAAGUCACUGAUCCCAUGCUGCCGAGAAAAGCUUCUAGCGAGCUGACGCGGAACCCGUACCCCAAACCGACACAGGUGGGCGGGUAGAGAAUACCAAGGCGAUCGGGAGAACUGUGGUUAAGGAACUCGGCAAAAUACCUCCGUAACUUCGGGAGAAGGAGGGCCUCACUAGGAUGACGAACUUCGCGUUCCGAGUCUGAAGAGGCCGCAGAGAAUAGGGGAAAGCGACUGUUUACUAAAAACACAGGAGCGUGCGAAGUCGUAAGACGAUGUAUACGCUCUGACGCCUGCCCGGUGCCGGAAGGUUACGGGGAAGGGUUAGCCCUCGGGCGAAGCUCUGAACCUAAGCCCCGGUAAACGGCGGCCGUAACUAUAACGGUCCUAAGGUAGCGAAAUUCCUUGUCGGGUAAGUUCCGACCUGCACGAAUGGCGUAACGACUUUCCUACUGUCUCAACCACAGACCCGGCGAAAUUGAAGUACGAGUAAAGAUGCUCGUUAGCUGCAUCAGGACGGAAAGACCCCGUGGACCUUUACUACAGCUUGCUGUUGAGUUUUAGUUCAUAUUGUGUAGGAUAGGUGGGAGACUUUGAAGCAUUGGCGCCAGCCAGUGUGGAGUCAACCUUGAAAUACCACCCUUUAUGUGCCGGAACCCUAACCUCGGUCCGUUAUCCGGAUCAGGGACAGCGUCAGGUGGGUAGUUUGACUGGGGC